rnacentral:rRNA from 1 species
CCCUUAGAUGUUCUGGGCCGCACGCGCGCUACACUGAUGCAUUCAACGAGCCUAUCCUUGACCGACAGGUCCGGGUAAUCUUUGAAAUUUCAUCGUGAUGGGGAUAGAUUAUUGCAAUUAUUAAUCUUCAACGAGGAAUUCCUAGUAAGCGCGAGUCAUCAGCUCGCGCUGAUUACGUCCCUGCCCUUUGUACACACCGCCCGUCGCUACUACCGAUUGGAUGGUUUAGCGAGAACUUUGGACCGGAGCUCGGGUGGUCAGCAAUGGCCGCCCGAGACAUACUGGGAAAUCGCUCCAGCUUGAUCAUCUAGAGGAAGUAAAAGUCGUAACA